UACGUAGGUGGCAAGCGUUGUCCGGAAUUACUGGGUGUAAAGGGAGCGUAGGCGGGAUGUCAAGUCAGAAGUGAAAAUUAUGGGCUCAACUCAUAACCUGCUUUUGAAACUGAUAUUCUUGAGUGAAGUAGAGGCAAGCGGAAUUCCUAGUGUAGCGGUGAAAUGCGUAGAUAUUAGGAGGAACACCAGUGGCGAAGGCGGCUGUCUGGUCUGCAACUGACGCUGAGGCUCGAAAGCAUGGGUAGCGAACAGG
rnacentral:rRNA from 1 species